GGGCCAGUGGCGCAAUGGAUAACGUGUCUGACUACGGAUCAGAAGAUUCUACGUUCGACUCCUGGCUGGCUCG
rfam:Salmo salar isolate Sally breed double haploid chromosome ssa12, whole genome shotgun sequence.